rnacentral:rRNA from 1 species
UACAGAGGUCUCAAGCGUUGUUCGGAUUCAUUGGGCGUAAAGGGGUGCGUAGGCGGCGCGGUAAGUCGGGUGUGAAAUCUCGGAGCUUAACUCCGAAACUGCAUUCGAUACUGCCGUGCUUGAGGACUGGAGAGGAGACUGGAAUUUACGGUGUAGCGGUGAAUGCGUAGAUAUCGUAAGGAAGACCAGUGGCGAAGGCGGGUCUCUGGACAGUUUCCUGACGCUGAGGCACGAAGGUCAGGAGCAACGG